CGUGGGCAGCACACACACCACGGGAAGGCGGGACAAAGAGGUGAUGCACACCUUGGGUCAGAGGAUGUGGGACAGCAUCACACAUCUCAGGAUUUAAAAGAUACGGCUUUAUUCCAAUGCCUGAUUAAUGAAAAGCCUGUGUUUACGGAAGCAUAUGGACCUGCUCCUCUCCAAGACACUGAAGAACAACAGUCUCACUUCGCAUCCUACACUGGUCCCUGCUAAGGGUAGCCAAGAAGUGAAAGAAGCCUUCUCCUUAUUAAAGCCUUGAAAAGCUUAUCAGGAAGAAAAGCCUUAAUAGAUAGGCCAUAUUUUUAUUCAGUUUUAAAUUUUACUCUUUAAUAAAAGCAAAAGUUGGAAAUGGCUCAAAAUAACAUCACACUGAAUGACCUUUUUUAUGUAUGAGACGUGAUUUUUAAAGUUUUAAUGUGUUUGCAUAUUAAUGACCUGAGACUGUUCCUAUAAAAUAUACCCAUGUGAUGUCAUCACCUGGCCUCUCACUGGAAAAACUUGUAUUAUUUCUAUCAGCUCUCAUGAUUAAAUUCUAUUUUUGAAAUUAA